GCACUGGUGGUUCAAUGGUAGAAUUCUUACCUUCUGUGCAGGAGACCCAGGUUCAAACCCUGGCCAAUGCA
rfam:Loxodonta africana unplaced genomic scaffold scaffold_20, whole genome shotgun sequence.